rnacentral:rRNA from 1 species
UCCUGCCCUAUGAUUAUUUAAAUGGCUGCAGUAUAUUGACUGUGCAAAGGUAGCAUAAUAAUUAGUCUUUUAAUUGAGGACUUGUAUGAAUGGAUUAAUGAGAAAUUCAUUUUAUUAAUUUUAAAUUUUUAAUUUAAUAUUCAAGUAAUAAAGCUUGACUUAUUUUUCGGGACGAUAAGACCCUAUAGAACUUUAAUUUAAUUUUAUUAGUUCAAUUUUAGAUUAUCACAUUUAAUUUAUAUUAGUUAAAUUUUUGUUGGGGUGACAGAUAAAUUUUUACUUUAUCUUUCCUACUCAUUUAUAUAUGUUUUUUUGAUCCUUUAUUUUUGAUUUUAAGAUUAAGUUACCUUAGGGAUAACAGCGUAAUUUUAAUGGGGAGUUCUUAUUUAUAUUAAAGUUUGCGACCUCGAUGUUGAAUUAAGAUUAUUCUAGGGGGUAG